rnacentral:rRNA from 1 species
UACAGAGGGGGCAAACGUUGUUCGGAAUUACUGGGCGUAAAGCGAGUGUAGGCGGUUUCCUAAGUCGGAUGUGAAAGCCCCGGGCUCAACCCGGGAAGUGCACUCGAAACUGGGAGGCUAGAGUAUCGGAGAGGUUGGUGGAAUUCUCGGUGUAGAGGUGAAAUUCGUAGAUAUCGAGAGGAACACCGGUGGCGAAGGCGGCCAACUGGACGAAUACUGACGCUGAGACUCGAAAGCGUGGGGAGCAAACAGG